rnacentral:rRNA from 1 species
AUUGAACGCUGGCGGCAUGCCUUACACAUGCAAGUCGAACGGCAGCGGACCUUCGGGUGCCGGCGAGUGGCGAACGGGUGAGUAAUAUAUCGGAACGUACCUUUCAGUGGGGGAUAACGUAGCGAAAGUUACGCUAAUACCGCAUAUUCUGUGAGCAGGAAAGCAGGGGAUCGCAAGACCUUGCGCUGAUUGAGCGGCCGAUAUCAGAUUAGCUAGUUGGUGGGGUAAAGGCUCACCAAGGCGACGAUCUGUAGCGGGUCUGAGAGGAUGAUCCGCCACACUGGAACUGAGACACGGUCCAGACUCCUACGGGAGGCAGCAGUGGGGAAUUUUGGACAAUGGGCGCAAGCCUGAUCCAGCCAUGCCGCGUGAGUGAAGAAGGCC